rnacentral:rRNA from 1 species
CCUACGGGAGGCAGCAGUGGGGAAUAUUGCACAAUGGGGGAAACCCUGAUGCAGCGAGGCCGCGUGAGCGAAGAAGUAUUUCGGUAUGUAAAGCUCUAUCAGCAGGGAAGAAAAUGACGGUACCUGACUAAGAAGCCCCGGCUAACUACGUGCCAGCAGCCGCGGUAAUACGUAGGGGGCAAGGGUUAUCCGGAUUUACUGGGGUUAAGGGGUGCGCAGGUGGGAGAUCAAGUCAGCGGUAAAAUUGAGGGGCUCAACCUCUUAGCGCCGUUGAAACUGGUUUUCUUGAGUAUGGGAGAGGUAUGCGGAAUGCGUGGUGUAGCGGUGAAAUGCGUAGAGAUAAGGAAGAACACCGGUUGCGAAGGCAGCAUACCGGCGCUCAACUGACGCUGAUGCGCGAAAGUGUGGGGAGCGAACAGGAUUAGAUACCCGUGUAGUC